GACGAACGCUGGCGGCGUGCUUAACACAUGCAAGUCGAACGGAAAGGCCCUGCUUUUGUGGGGUGCUCGAGUGGCGAAGGGGUGAGUAACACGUGAGUAACCUGCCCUUGACUUUGGGAUAACUUCAGGAAACUGGUGCUAAUACCGGAUAGGAGCUCCUGCUGCAUGGUGGGGGUUGGAAAGUUUCGGCGGUUGGGGAUGGACUCGCGGCUUAUCAGCUUGUUGGUGGGGUAGUGGCUUACCAAGGCUUUGACGGGUAGCCGGCCUGAGAGGGUGAACGGCCACAUUGGGACUGAGAUACGGCCCAGACUCCUACGGGAGGCAGCAGUGGGGAAUAUUGCACAAUGGGCGGAAGCCUGAUGCAGCAACGCCGCGUGCGGGAUGACGGCCUUCGGGUUGUAAACCGCUUUCGCCUGUGACGAAGCGUGAGUGACGGUAAUGGGUAAAGAAGCACCGGCUAACUACGUG
rnacentral:rRNA from 1 species